ACAUAUCAAUUAAAUACAAUUUGAACUUUCAGUUUUAAUCAAGAUUGAAAUAACAAUAACAUAGUUUGUGUUGACCUCUAAAAAUGGCACUUCCACGUGGCCAACUUGUAGAUACUCCACGUAUUCCUCCCUAUGAAAUGAACAAACUGUCAGGCGCACACGGUCGGAACCGACGGGGGUGGCGGCCGCAUACACUCCGACGGUCAAGUCAGGUUUGGGUGGUCGGAACAGUGUCCAGGGACUACACAAAUCAAUCAGUCAAUAAAGGGGGAGGAGGAUAUAUAAACUUGUUAUGGAGUGCUAUCUAUUGAGAGUUUCAUUACCUUUGUCUCUGGCCAAUCUUUGGGUAUUUAUAGGUGGUAUGAACCGUGGGAUGUGGAACACGUGUAUACAUCUGACGGUAUGAAGCGUCUGCUCAUAGGCGUCAAUCAGCCGCGCUUGUAGAGUGGGCGGACAGUUUGUUUCCCCCAAGUUGAAUUGACAUAAAGUUGAUAAGUCACAUCAAAUAGCUUUAUGGGGGACGUCAAAUCAAUUGAAACCUUAUAUGCAGAGCAAAUCUUAAAUUGGCAGCGAAUCUUCUAACGGGGGUCCACUUGAACCCGACCUCGGAGACGGGACACUUCGGCAGAUCAGUGACAGGAAUCGGUGUACCACUUUGGAGAAGCUUCGGGAGGUCGGAGUGGUGAGAGGCUUCGGAAGGUCGGAGUGGUAAGAAGCUUCGGGAGUAAGAAGCUUCGGGAGGUCGGGGUGGUCUAUUUGAUUUCACCGGCUUCGGAGUGGCAAGAUGACACUGCGAUACCUCGGUACCGAGGCUCAUAAAAAUGAGGCGUAACAGUGGUCCCCCAAAUCCGAGAAUGAAUAUUUAUAUUAUACGUGGAUUUAUUUUUCGGACCGGAUUGCGGCAUGGGGGUAGCUGCAACUUUGUAGAGCAUGGGACCAACGCAGAGCCGAGGCGAUGAGCCAAUGGUACGCUCGCGUCGGGUACGCUAAAGCGUCAUAAAAAUUAUAGGGACCCGUCUUCACCGAAGCGUUGGAAGGGAGAGGGAGACGGCUCAAGCUUUGCAAAGCAUGGGAGGGGACGCAGCGACCGAGGCGAUAGCAAACGGGGGUUCGCAUCGG
rnacentral:lncRNA from 1 species